UAUUUAGAAUGACAUAACGAAUUAUUUUGUGAGCAUUAAUUUGAAAAAAUAAAUACAAUUAUUUCCUAAAAGUACUAUCCGUAUUUUUUAUGUAUUCAUUGGAAUUUUUUUUCGGAUUUUCGUUCUGCCUCAAAAAAUGUUACGAAAUUGAUUGCGGCUUUUUCGCUCGGAUAGUAGUAUAUAGUCUGUGAUUAUAAUACAUUUUAAUCUGUGAACUCAUUAUCAUAUAAUAGAAAAAUUAGUCCGU